GCUGCAUGGGAUUCUGGGUAAUGGUUGUGUUGUGUUUAUGUUGUGUUACGGUGCGGAUGUUCUCCAGAAAUGUGUUUUUCAUUCUUUUUUGGUGUGGGUUCACAGUGUGGCGCAUAUUUGUAACGUAACAAUGUUAAAGCUGUUUUAUACGGCUACCGUCAGUGUAAGCUGUGUGGCUGAUGAGUAAGUAUGCUUUGCUGUCUCCUGUGUGUGCAAGUAAUAACAACAUGCAACAUGUGGCUGGACUGGCACGCUGUAUGUAAAUGCUAUAGAGGACAAUUACUGCAGUGCAUUUAGGGCACGCCCUUUUAUUUAGUAAUUAGAGUGUAAAUAGGAUUAUUUUUUCCCUGGGAGUAAUCUAUGAGAGACACUGAGAUCCAUAAGUCUCCUGGGGAAAUCGGGGGGUCGGCAUGUAUGUAGCUGAGCCGCAUCAGAGUGGUCAAGGAGCCGCAUGCGGCUCCGGAGCCGCGGGUUGCCGACCCCUGGUAUAGGUGAAAGCUCUUACUGCUCUUGGUGGGCCGAAUUUGGCAGACACGGUGAGGACAAUGCUGAGGAAAAUUGCCACAAACAAAGUCCUGGAGCAGCUUGGCCUCCGUGGAAAGUCAGGAAAAGUGGCGUUUGAGGACUUGCCCCUUUACAGAUAUAAUAAAUAAGGCAUGCAGGGGUGUUUACAAGCAGACGACCACAGCUGAAGUGGAUUGUGAGCUUGGAGAGGUCCUGAAACUGGCCACUUUUCGAAAGGGAGGUUCAAAAUUUGAGGAGAAGAGGAGGAAUUAAGAGGGAGGACAAAAAAAAGGAAAAAGAAACAAGCAAAAGAACAGAGUGAGAUGAGAGGAUUUGGGUUUCCCUGCUUGGGCUGCUGCCCCCGCGACCCGAACUCGGAUAAGCGGAAGAAGAUGGAUGGAUGGAUUUACUUCCAGGAAGAGAACCAAGAAGGGGCAGGAUACACUGACGCGCACGACCAAGACCACUGCAUUCCAUUCCAUUUGUAUUAUAGUUAUCACUAAUAAAGAAUUAAUUCU